GACGAACGCUGGCGGCGUGCUUAACACAUGCAAGUCGUACGGUAAGGCCCUUUCGGGGGUCCACGAGUGGCGAACGGGUGAGUAACACGUGAGUAACCUGCCCACAACUUUGGGAUAACGCUAGGAAACUGGUGCUAAUACUGGAUAUGUGCUCCUGCUGCAUGGUGGGGGUUGGAAAGCUCCGGCGGUUGUGGAUGGACUCGCGGCCUAUCAGCUUGUUGGUGGGGUAGUGGCCUACCAAGGCGGCGACGGGUAGCCGGCCUGAGAGGGUGACCGGCCACAUUGGGACUGAGAUACGGCCCAGACUCCUACGGGGGGCAGCAGUGGGGAAUAUUGCACAAUGGGCGCAAGCCUGAUGCAGCAACGCCGCGGGCGGGAUGACGGCCUUCGGGUUGUAAACCGCUUUCAGCAGGGACGAAGCUUUUUGUGACGGUACCUGCAGAAGAAGCACCGGCUAACUACGUG
rnacentral:rRNA from 1 species